rfam:Clostridium sp. CAG:226 genomic scaffold, scf416
AUACGGAAUGCUGUAAGGGAGUGCUUUGCGCGCGGGCAGAAAACAGGG